GACGAACGCUGGCGGCGUGCUUAACACAUGCAAGUCGUACGGUAAGGCCCUUUCGGGGGUCCACGAGUGGCGCACGCGUGAGUAACACGUAAGUAACCAGCCCCCAACUUUGGGAUAACGAUAGGAAACUGGUACUGAUACUGGAUAUGUGCUCCUGCUGCAUGGUGGGGGUUGGAAAGCUCCGGCGGUUGUGGAUGGAUUGGCGGCCUAUCAGCUUGUUGGGGGGGUUAUGGCCUACCAAGGCGGCGGCGGGUAGCCGGACUGCGAGGGUGACCGGCCACAUAGGGUCCGAGGGACGGCCGAGGUACCGACGGGUGGCAGCAGGGGGAAAGAUUGCACAAGGGGCGCAAGCUGGAUGCAGCAGGGCCUCGGGCGGGAAGACGGUCUUAUGGUUGAAAAACGCUUUCAGCAGGGACGAAGCUUGUUGUGACGGUACCUGCAGAAGAAGCACCGGCUAACUACGUG
rnacentral:rRNA from 1 species